rnacentral:rRNA from 1 species
GGGGGGAACCCUGAUCCAGCCAUGCCGCGUGUGUGAAGAAGGCCUUUUGGUUGUAAAGCACUUUAAGUGGGGAGGAGGCUUACCUGGUUAAUACCUGGGCUAGGUGGACGUUACCCACAGAAUAAGCACCGGCUAACUCUGUGCCAGCAGCCGCGGUAAUACAGAGGGUGCGAGCGUUAAUCGGAUUUACUGGGCGUAAAGCGCGCGUAGGUGGUUAAUUAAGUCAAAUGUGAAAUCCCCGAGCUUAACUUGGGAAUUGCAUUCGAUACUGGUUAGCUAGAGUAUGGGAGAGGAUGGUAGAAUUCCAGGUGUAGCGGUGAAAUGCGUAGAGAUCUGGAGGAAUACCGAUGGCGAAGGCAGCCAUCUGGCCUAAUACUGACACUGAGGUGCGAAAGCAUGGGGAGCAAACAGGAUUAGAUACCCUGGUAGUCCAUGCCGUAAACGAUGUCUACUAGCCGUUGGGGGAUUUGAUCCUUUAGUGGCGCAGCUAACGCGAUAAGUAGACCGCCUGGGGAGUACG